UAAAAGCAAACACAAGACAAGUCCUUUGGGUUAUCCAAAUUAUUAACACAUUCACGGCAACAAACAGGCCAAUGGAUUCCCAAAUUUUGAAACAAUAAGCUCAGCUAAUCUUUCUAGAGACGCUUCACAAAGCAUAAAAAAUUAAAGAUUCUAGGAUUUUCCAACACCAUUUCGAUUGAAGCAACAAAAUUAGGGGAAACUGUUCAUCUUCUUUAAGAAUGCAAUGGACAAAACUUUUGCUACUUCCCAUUCCUUCAUCUUCGAGCACGUUUCAAUCUGGAGCUUCCAGUAAGCUACGGUUUCUCUCAACCAGUAUUGCCGCAACCUUUGGGAUCCCAUACCUCAAAAACACCUAUUGUUUUUGCCAAAGACCUUCGCUGGCUAACUGGUGCCCCACUUCAUUGGCCGAUCUGUUCACAUGCAUAAAGGGAAUCUCCUUCAACCUCCAGCUUUUGUAAAUUUAAAUCUAAGCACAUCCUCAAUGCCAACACACAAGCCACUGUUUCCGCCGCAAAAGGCGAAAGAAUCCUCUCAGUCAAGUGUCGCCAAGCUAGCUUGGGGAUUGAGGAACGUCGGAGCUCGAUUCACACUAUCAAACAAUUGUUUUGGGUAUACUUAGUUUCAAUAUUUUGAGUAUGGCAUGUGUAGGGACUUGCUCGUUUUGUUACGUAUCAUAUUGGUUUAGCCAAAUGUGUUGGCAUUGUAAUGGUUAAUGAUUCAUUUUGUAUAUGGUCUCUGGAAGUUGAAUAAUAUUAAUUUUGUUGGUCAUUGGUAUGUCUAUGCGAUGAUGCUUAUCAUGAAGAUGAAAUGGGCAUAAAUGGAAAAUGAAAAUAUGUGAUGUUUAUUCAUGAUAGAUGUUAGUAUGUGUAAA